CGAGCAUCAAUGAUGGGCAAUGCCAAUUCGUUAUCCUUGCACUUUGAUUGUCAGUGAAGAAGCUUAUGGGGGAUUAUUAGUCUGAGGUGCUC